UUUUUUUUUCUUUUCUUUUUUUUUUUUUUUUGAGACAGAGUUUCACUCUUGGUUGCCCAGGCUGGAGUGCAAUCUCAGCUCACUACAACCUCCACCUCCAGGUUCAAGUGAUUCUCCUGUCUCAGCCUACCAAGUAGCUGGGACUUCAGGCACCUGCUAAUUUUUGUAUUUUUAGUAGAGAUGGGGUUUUGCCAUGUUGACCAGGCUGGUCUUGAACUCCUGACCUCAGGUGAUCUACCCACCUCAGCCUCCCAAAGUGCUGGGAUUACAAGCAUGAGCCACUGUGCUCAGCUGACAUGGCCUAUUUUACCCACUAUUAUUUUAAUCCUAAUUGCUUUAUCAUCUUUACAAAUUGUAUUACUAUACAUAAUGGAUGUAAUUAGUAACUCCUUCCUAACUAUAAAAACUAUAGGCCAUCAAUGAUACUGAAGUUAUGAAUACACACAUUACAAAGACCUAAUUUUGAUUCCUACAUAAUCCCUCUAACAAAUCUAAACCAGGACAAGUACCACUACUCAAUGUUGAUAAUUGAGUAGUCCUGCCUAUAGAAAUAUCAACUCAUAUACCAAUCUUCUCUAAAAAUAUCCUACACUCAUGAGCUGUUCCAUCAUUAGGACUAAAAACAGAUACAAUUUCAGGAUGUUUAAAUCAAGCAACCCUAACACCCACAAAACCAGACCUGUAUUAUGGACAAUGCUCAGAAAUUUGUGGAUCAAAUCACAGCUUUAUACCUAUUGUACUUGAAUUAGUUCCACUAAAACACUUUGAAAACUAAUCAUCUGUUAUAAUGCCACUGUGUGAGGCUAAAUAACCUUAAUCUUUUAAGUUCAAGACUGAAAGUAUUAAUGUCUUCAAAAUGAAACGCUAUGACUAGACACAUCAACAUGGUUUAUCAGUUAUUUUCUUUUCUUUUUUAGACGGGGUCUUUCUCUGUUGCCCAGGCUGGAGAGCAGUGGCACAAUCAGGACUCACUGCAGCCUCAAUGUCCUGGGCUCAAGAGAUCCUCCCAUUUCAGUCAGCUGAGUGGCUGGGACUAUAGGCGUGUGCCACCAUGCCUAGCUAGUUUUUAAAUAUUUUGUAGAGAUGGGCAUCUCACUAUGUUGCCCAGGCUGAUCUCAAACUCCUAAGCUGAAGUGGUCCUCCUGCCUCAGUCUCCCAAAGUGCUAGGUUUACAGGCAUGAGCUACUGUGCCCUGCCGAUUUAUCACUAUUGUUUCAAUAUUUCUAGUACUAUAUAUUCUAUCUCGAUUACAAAUUUUGAACUAUAUUAAUUCUUUAAAUCCAUCACCAAAGAACAUCAAAGCAUCAAAACACCAGAUACCUUGAGAAAAAAAGUGAACAAAAAUUUAUUCACUUCUUUCAUUACCCCUACAAUAAUAGGACUAUCUAUUGUUAUCCUAAUCAUUUCAUUUCUAAACAUCAUGUUUCCUGCCCCCAAUCACCUAAUCAAUAAUCUAUUAGUCUCUGUUCAACAAUGAUUGGUGCAACUCAUACUAAAACAAAUAACCAUACAUAAUAUUAAAGAGCACAUUUGAUCUCUAAUAUUAAUUUCACUUAUUUAUCAGUUAAACAAAUUUACUAGGAUUAUUACCCCACUCACUCCCACCAGCCACCCAAUUAUCAGAAAAUCUAGGUAUAACUAUCCCACUAUCAGUAGGAGCAGUAAUUACCUGCUUUCACCACAAAACAGAGCAUUAUUAAUGGCUCACUUCCUACCACAAGGAACACCUGUUCCACUUAUCCCCAUGCUAGUAAUUAUUGAAACUAUAAUAUUAGCCUUUUUAUUCAACCCACGGCCCUAGCAGUACAAUUAACAGUCAACAUUACAGUGGUCAUCUACCAUAUGCUUAAUCGGUGGAGCCACCUUAAUCCUAAUAUCCAUUUGCCCAGCAACAGCCUUAAGUACAUUUCUCAUUACUUAUCACUCCUGAAUUUAUGGUUGCCCUAAUUCAGGCUAACAUCUUCACACUUCUAGUUAGGCUUUACCUAGAUGAUAAUGCUUAGUCACCCACCAGACCCACAUCUACCGUACAAUUGCCCCUAGCUCUUGAUCACUUCCCAGUUCUGCUCAUAGCAUUUGGUAAUAUGAUUUCACUUUAAUUCAAUUAUUUUACUAUCCUUAGUUGUACUAACUGAUACAUUAAACGUAUAUCAAUGAUAACAAAAUGCAGUCAAAGAAAACACACUUCAAGGCCACCACACAUUAAUUGUUCAAAAAGGCCUAUAAUACAAAAUGAUUCUCUUUAUUGUAUCAAUGUAAUUAUUGGUGUCACCAUUUUUAUCCUUUGUUUCUUAUGUCAAUCGCAAUUCCUUUUCUUUUUUUUAAGACAGAGUCUCACUCUGUCUUCCAGGUUGGAGUGCAGUGGCGUGAUCUCAGCUUACUGCAGCCUUGACCUCCGGGGCUCAAGUGAUCCUCCCACAUGAGCCCCCCGUGGACCACUGUGGCCAGCUAAUUUUUGUAUUUUUUGUAGGGACGAGGUCUCCCUAUAUUGCUCAGCUAAUUGCAAUUUCAUUUCACAUCUAAUCACCCUUUCAGAUGUGAUGCUGCUGCCUGAGAGUGACAUUUUGUAAAUGUAGUCUGACUAUUUGUAUACAUCUCUAUUUAUUGAUGAGGAUCCUAUUUUAGUAUUUAUCAGCACAAGUGACUUCCAAUCAAUUAGCUUUGGUAUCAACCUGAAAAAGAAUAAUCAAUCUUACAUUAACCUUAUUAACUAAUACAUUACUAGCAUUACUGCUUAUCAUCAUUGCAUUCUGAUUACCACAAUUAAAUAUCCAUACAGAAAAAUCAAGGGUAUACAAAUGCAGAUUUGAUCCAACAGCAUCUUCCCAGCUAUGAUUUGCCAUAAAAUUUUUCUUAGUAGCUAUAGUGUUCUGAUUAUUCAAUCUAGAAAUCACCUUCCAAUUACCAUUACCAUGAGUAUCUCAAAUAAACAACUCGAAACUCAUACUCGUUAUGGCACUAAUUUUAAUCCUUAUCCUAUCCUUAGGCCUAGUUUAUGAAUGGAUCCAAAAAGGACUAGAAUUAAUUAAAUAUGGUUUUUAGUUUAAAUUAAAACAAACAAUUCAACCAUUAAAUUAUAUUUCAUAAUUACCAACAUACCUUCAUUUAUAUUAACAUUAUUCUAGCUUAUAUUGCAUACUUAAUACAGCUCUCAGUAUACCAAUUUUCAUUAUUAUGUUUAGAAGGCAUAAUGUUAUGAUUAUUUAUUGUAAAAUUAUAAUUUUUUAUUUUUUGUUUCAUUAUAAAUUUUGUUUGUUUUUUGUUUUGUUUUGUUUUGUUUUGUUUCAGACAGAGCCUCACUAUGUUGCCCAGGCUGGACUCAAACCUAUCCUCUCAGCUCAGCCCCCUGUGUAGCUGGAAUUUACAGAUACAUGCCACUGCAUCUGGCCAUAAUUUUAAAUAUUUACCUUAUCCCACUCCAUCCAAGUCCAACUUAACUACUUUCCCUAAUAAGUAUAACAAAUAAACACCAUCUCCCUAAAAAAAAUCAGAUACAUGAAAAAGCUAUAUUUCUCAGUAUUAAUUUUUUUUUUUUGAGACAGGGUCUCACUCUGUCACCCAGGUUAGAGUGCAGUGAUGUGAUAAAAUCACACCAUUUUUAUCCUGAACAGCUGAGACCACAGGUGUGCACCACCACGGCUGGCUACUUUUUUGCAUUUUUUGUAGAUACAGGGUUUUGCCAUGUUGCCGAGGUUGGUCUCUAACUCCUCAAGUGAUUCUCCAGCUUCAGGCAUCCCAAGGUGCUGGGUUUACAGGCUUGAGCCGCCACGCCUGGCCAAUAUUAAUUUUUCUACAAAUAUUCUUAAUCAUGACAUUUACUGCUACAGAACUAAUUCUAUUCGAUAUUAUCUUUGCAGCAGCUCUAAUCCCAACUGUAAUCACUGUCACUUGAUGAGGAAGCUGAAGAGAACAAUUCAGUGCAAGACUUUAUUUCCUGUCCUACACACUGAUUGGCUGUUCAACCCUACUCAUAGCAUUAAUCUAUAUCCAAAAUUCCUCAGACUCACUAAAUUCUUAAAGAACCACUAUUGAAUUCAAACAUGACCAAACCCUGAUCUAAUGUCUCCCAUGAUUAGCAUACAUAAUAGCAUUCCUAGCAAAAAUACCCCUUUACCUCCUCCACCUCUGACUACCAAAAGUGCAUGUAGAAGCCCCAAUCGCAGCCAAUUACUAAAACUAGGAGGCUGUAGUAUAAAAUGAAAUUUUACAAUUUUAAAUCCACUAACAGAAUACAUAACCCAUUCAUUUCUUAUAUUAUCCCUAGGAGGAACUAUUGUAACAGCUCUAUUUGUUUACACCAAACAAGACUUAAAAUCACUCAUUGCCUAUUCAUCCAUAAGUCUUGUAGCACUAGUAAAACUAGUCAUUUUUAUUCUAAUGCCAUGAAGUGUUACAGGAGCCACAGCCCUAAUAAUUGUCCAUGGCCUCAUGUCAUCAAUGUUGCUAUGCCUCAAAAACUCAAUCUAUGAAGGAAUCCACAGUUGAACUAUACUAUUAGCUCUCAAACUACAUGUAAUACUUCCUUUAAUACAACAUGAGUACUGGCUAGCUAACUUAUCUAGCCCUACCACCACUAUGAACCUAAUUGGAAAAUUACUUGUGGUUAUAGCAUUAUUUUUGUGAUCUAGUUUUACCACUAUCCUAAUAGGACUUAAUAUACUAAUUACAGCCCUAUAUUCACUCUACAUAUUAAACAUAAUACGAUGAGGAAAAUAUACACACCACAUUAAUAACAUUAAGCCAGCCGGGCACGGUGGCUCAUGCCUGUAAUCCCAGCACUUUGGGAGGCCAAGGCAAGUGGAUCACCUGAGGUCAGAAGUUCCAGACCAGCCUGGCCAACACGAUGAAACACUGUGUCUACUAAAAAUACAAAAAUCAGCCAGGUGUGGUGGCAAACGCCUGUAACCCCAGCUAUUCAGGAGGCUGAGGCAGGAGAAUCGCUUGAGCCCAGGAGGCGGAGGUUGCAGUGAGUCGAGAUUGCACCAUUGCACUCCAGCCUGGGCGUCACAGAGAGACUCCUCAAAAAAACAAACAAAACAAAACAAAAAACAUUAAACCAUCAUUCACAUGAGAAAAAUAUUCUAAUACUUAUGUAUUUCUUCUCCUAUCACUCCUAUCACAACCCCCAAAUUAUUCUAGUACCCAUAUAUUGUAAAUAUCGUUAAACAAAACAUUAUAUUGUGACUAAAAUAACAGAAGCCUAAAACUCCUUAUUUACUCAGAAAGUAUGCAAAAAUUACUAACUCAUGCCUCCAUGUAGAAUAAUAUUGUUUUUCAAUUUUUAAAGCAUAGAAGUAGUGCAUUGGUGUUAGGAGCUAAAAAAAAUGAGUGUAACUCCAAAUAAAAGCAAUAAAUUUAUUCUCUUCUUCUAUCAUAAUUUCACUUACCAUCUUAAUUACUAACAUUUCCU
rnacentral:lncRNA from 1 species